UUCUAACAUCAAGGAGGCACAGCUGUCAGCCUUGCCCAUAGCCAAGGGGCUAUGGUGAUGGCUACUUAGGGAUAGAGUCCAUCUUCUCUAACGGUGUAGCUGGCUAGCAGUGGAUAGUGGUUAAAGCUGACUUUGUUCCAGUGGAUAGUCCCUCACCCAUGAUUACUUGAGCAGCACAAACUGAACUCACUGGGUUAUGAAAACAUAAAAAGACAUGAAGUUGGGAGAGGAUUUGAAGAGAAUGAUGAGCUAAAUUUUCAUCCUUGAUCAUCUUGGAAAGAACAUUAAAUUCUCCAUAAGGUCAAGACCAAGGCCCACCAACUCACUAUCUGAAAUGAACUAGGGUUGAAAGUCAGAAGUUUGGAUGGUGGUGCUCCUGGUUGAGGAAUGGAAGUGGCAAGAAAAUGAAGUGUGCAAGUGGUCACCAGUUGUUAAGAGAGACGAGAGGCCUCUGGCAUGGGAAAAUACACAGCUUAGUCCCGUGAUUACAAAGAAUUGCAUUCUGCCAAGGACCUGAAUGAGCCAUGAACUUGAUUCUCCCCAAAAGCUUCAGCAUCUUUCUCAUAGAGUCUGUAGAGGGUGAAGCUAAUGGGACUAAAAUACUCUCCAGAGAAACUGAACCAAGAUCUUUAUAUGAGCCAGGCUGAGGAGACAAAGUCUGGGAUUUGUAGUUAUCAAGUGGUAAUUGGAGAAGAGGACACAUGAAGAGGAAUCAGAUGCAAUGAAAGGGAACAGCGGAGCUGAUAUAUAACAAAGUACACUGGACCUGGUUUCUGCAUUCCAGUAUGCAUAGGAUUCAGAACACUAAAGAAGGACAUGGGAACCAGGAGGAUGGCUCAGCUCAUGACCAUGAGUGAUGUGCAAGUCCAAUGAUCCAAGUUUAGUUCCUGGAACUCACAGGAGAAAAAGAUCAUGGAGCUGCAGUCCUGAAAGUGGAGAUGACGUCAUGACUAGUAUGUCCAACUCUAAUCUGUAUCCUUAGCAUCCAUGAGGCAACAGAGCAAAACACUGCGAAGGGUAAUGUGAAAAUAAUGCAGAUAACCACUCUAAAGAUAAGGAAACUGAGUGCAGAGAUAAUACAAACAGCCCAAGGGAAAACGCUGACAAGUGGCAGAGACAGGAUCCAACCUCAGAAUCUCUGCACAGCGAAACUGGCACUCUCCGGCAAAGGUCUUGAACCUGUGUAUACAGAGAAUUAGUUGCGCAUGGCCGCACAGACAGCGAAGCAGUGUCAAGAUUCGAUUACUGAUAGCUGACUGAAAGAUAUGACUUUGAAGGAGGCAUUUAUUCCUGGAAUCCAUGGAUAGAACUGGAAAUUUAGAUUGAUGGGAAUUUUUGUUACACUUAACUUGCUGAUAUCACAAAAGGUGUGGAGAACGGAUGGAACAAUGCUAAGCUACUUUCUGACUCUACUCUGAAAUAGUCACGUGUGGAAGCCCUGGUGCCCAGCUGCUGAGACGUGAGAAAACCAGGAGAACAGUGACCCCAACACUGAGUUAGUUACUCAUUAAUUCAUGGUUUAAUAUGUUGUUAAGACAUAGAGUCUAGUAGAAGGUCCCUGGUUGCUCAAGGCAAACCAUUCACACCCGCUUCCUUAGUCUGGCUGCUUCCGGGCUGCCAUGAGGUGGACCAGCAGCUUCCCUUCACCAUUCCCUUUUGCCAUGUUUUCCUUUGCCACUAAAAGCAACUGAGUCACUAUACCCUGGACCAAAGUGUCUAACACCAUGGACCAAAAUAACUGCUUUCUUCUUUUCAGUUUUUUAUGUCAGGUAUUUGUCACAAUGAUGUAAAAAAUUAUAAAC
rnacentral:lncRNA from 1 species